GUGGGGAAUAUUGGACAAUGGGCGCAAGCCUGAUCCAGCCAUGCCGCGUGAGUGAUGACGGCCUUAGGGUUGUAAAGCUCUUUCGCUCGGGACGAUAAUGACGGUACCGAGAUAAGAAGCCCCGGCUAACUUCGUGCCAGCAGCCGCGGUAAUACGAAGGGGGCUAGCGUUGUUCGGAAUUACUGGGCGUAAAGCGCGUGUAGGCGGGUCUUUAAGUCAGGGGUGAAAUGCCAAGGCUCAACCUUGGAACUGCCUUUGAUACUGGAGAUCUUGAGUCCGGGAGAGGUGAGUGGAAUUGCGAGUGUAGAGGUGAAAUUCGUAGAUAUUCGCAAGAACACCAGUGGCGAAGGCGGCUCACUGGCCCGGAACUGACGCUGAGACGCGAAAGCGUGGGGAGCAAACAGGAUUAGAAACCCUGGUAGUCC
rnacentral:rRNA from 1 species